CUUGGACUACAUAUGGUUGAGGGUUGUAAG
rnacentral:ncRNA from 5 species